rnacentral:rRNA from 1 species
UACGUAGGGUGCAAGCGUUAUCCGGAAUUAUUGGGCGUAAAGAGCUCGUAGGCGGUUUGUCGCGUCUGCUGUGAAAACCCGAGGCUCAACCUCGGGCCUGCAGUGGGUACGGGCAGACUAGAGUGCGGUAGGGGAGAUUGGAAUUCCUGGUGUAGUGGUGGAAUGCGCAGAUAUCAGGAGGAACACCGAUGGCGAAGGCAGAUCUCUGGGCCGUAACUGACGCUGAGGAGCGAAAGCGUGGGGAGCAAACAGG